GCGCACCAGUCGAGAAACUUUACAAUGUGCGAAAGCACGAUAAGGGAACUCUGAGUGCCUCCUAAGGAGGCUGUUCAGGUGUCUAAAAGCACCUGAAGGAAGGGCUGGGUAAGACCGGUGCCAGCCGCCGCGGUAACACCGGCAGCCCAAGUGGUAGCCACGUUUAUUGGGUCUAAAGCGUCCGUAGCCGGCUGGGUAAGUUCCUUGGGAAAUUUGGCUGCUUAACAGUCAAGCUUUCAGGGAAUGCUGCCCCGGCUUGGGACCGGGAGAGGUCAGAGGUACUCCAGGGGUAGGGGUGAAAUCCAUUAAUCCUUGGGGGACCACCGGUAGCGAAGGCGUCUGACCAGACCGGGUCCGACGGUGAGGGACGAAGGCUAGGGGCGCGAACCGGAUUAGAUA
rnacentral:rRNA from 1 species